GUCCACGCCGUAAACGAUGGGCACUAGGUGCUCUGGGGAGCGACCCCCGGGGUACCGGCGCUAACGCAUGAAGUGCCCCGCCUGGGGAGUACGGCCGCAAGGCUGAAACUCAAAGGAAUUGACGGGGGCCCGCACAAGCGGUGGAGCAUGUGGUUUAAUUCGACGCAACGCGCAGAACCUUACCUAGGCUUGACAUGCACGGGAAAGCUGCUGGAAACAGCGGCCCCUCUUCGGAGCCCGUGCACAGGUGCUGCAUGGCUGUCGU
rnacentral:rRNA from 1 species